rnacentral:ncRNA from 2 species
AAACAUAUAAAACUCCGAGUUGAUCUGCCUAAAGUUUACGCCACGGCAAAUUAACCGAUAGGGUAAAUCCGGAAACGGUUUUGCCUCCCUUGCUUGGAAAGGAGUUUGGGUCGAAUAAAG